GACGAACGCUGGCGGCGUGCUUAACACAUGCAAGUCGAACGGAAAGGCCCUGCUUUUGUGGGGUGCUCGAGUGGCGAAAGGGUGAGUAACACGUGAGUAACCUGCCCUUUACUUUGGGAUAACUUCAUGAAACUGGGGCUAAUACCGGAUAUGAGCUCCUGCUGCAUGGUGGGGGUUGGAAAGUUUCGGCGGUUGGGGAUGGACUCGCGGCUUAUCAGCUUGUUGGUGGGGUAGUGGCUUACCAAGGCUUUGACGGGUAGCCGGCCUGAGAGGGUGACCGGCCACAUUGGGACUGAGGUACGGCCCAGACUCCUACGGGAGGCAGCAGUGGGGAAUAGUGCAAAAUGGGCGGAAGCCUGAUGCAGCAACGCCGCGUGCGGGAUGAAGGCCUUAGGGUUGUAAACCGCUUUCGCCUGGGACGAAGAGUGAGUGACGGUAAUGGGUAAAGAAGCACCGGCUAACUACGUG
rnacentral:rRNA from 1 species